rnacentral:rRNA from 1 species
AGAGUUUGAUCAUGGCUCAGGAUGAACGCUAGCGACAGGCUUAACACAUGCAAGUCGAGGGGCACACGGGGUAGCAAUACCCCGGUGGCGACCGGCGCACGGGUGAGUAACACGUGUGCAACCAACCCCGUACAGGGAGAUAACCCGCGGAAACGUGGACUAACACCCCAUAAUACCUUUCCCCCGCAUGGGGGGGAGUUUAAAACCCCGGUGGCACGGGACGGGCACGCGCGACAUUAGGUAGUUGGCGGGGUAACGGCCCACCAAGGCGACGAUCGGUAGCCGGACUGAGAGGUUGAACGGCCACAUUGGGACUGAGACACGGCCCAGACUCCUACGGGAGGCAGCAGUGGGGAAUAUUGCACAAUGGGGGAAACCCUGAUGCAGCGACGCCGCGUGGAGGAAGAAGGUCUUCGGAUUGUAAACUCCUGUUGUUGAGGAAGAUAAUGACGGUACUCAACAAGGAAGUGACGGCUAACUACGUGCCAGCAGCCGCGGUAAAACGUAGGUCACAAGCGUUGUCCGGAAUUACUGGGUGUAAAGGGAGCGCAGGCGGGAGAACAAGUUGGAAGUGAAAUCCAUGGGCUCAACCCAUGAACUGCUUUCAAAACUGUUUUUCUUGAGUAGUGCAGAGGUAGGCGGAAUUCCCGGUGUAGCGGUGGAAUGCGUAGAUAUCGGGAGGAACACCAGUGGCGAAGGCGGCCUACUGGGCACCAACUGACGCUGAGGCUCGAAAGUGUGGGUAGCAAACAGGAUUAGAUACCCUGGUAGUCCACACCGUAAACGAUGAUUACUAGGUGUUGGAGGAUUGACCCCUUCAGUGCCGCAGUUAACACAAUAAGUAAUCCACCUGGGGAGUACGACCGCAAGGUUGAAACUCAAAGGAAUUGACGGGGGCCCGCACAAGCAGUGGAGUAUGUGGUUUAAUUCGACGCAACGCGAAGAACCUUACCAAGUCUUGACAUCCCUUGACGAACAUAGAAAUAUGUUUUCUCUUCGGAGCAAGGAGACAGGUGGUGCAUGGUUGUCGUCAGCUCGUGUCGUGAGAUGUUGGGUUAAGUCCCGCAACGAGCGCAACCCUUAUGGUCAGUUACUACGCAAGAGGACUCUGGCCAGACUGCCGUUGACAAAACGGAGGAAGGUGGGGAUGACGUCAAAUCAUCAUGCCCUUUAUGACUUGGGCUACACACGUACUACAAUGGCGUUAAACAAAGAGAAGCAAGACCGCGAGGUGGAGCAAAACUCAGAAACAACGUCCCAGUUCGGACUGCAGGCUGCAACUCGCCUGCACGAAGUCGGAAUUGCUAGUAAUCGUGGAUCAGCAUGCCACGGUGAAUACGUUCCCGGGCCUUGUACACACCGCCCGUCACACCAUGAGAGCCGGGGGGACCCGAAGUCGGUAGUCUAACCGCAAGGAGGACGCCGCCGAAGGUAAACCUGGUGAUUGGGGUGAAGUCGUAACAAGGU